UACGUAGGGUGCAAGCGUUAAUCGGAAUUACUGGGCGUAAAGCGUGCGCAGGCGGCUUUGCAAGACAGAUGUGAAAUCCCCGGGCUUAACCUGGGAACUGCACUUGAAACUACGAUGCUGGAGUAUGGCAGAGGGAGGUGGAAUUCCACGUGUAGCGGUGAAAUGCGUAGAGAUGUGGAGGAACACCGAUGGCGAAGGCAGCCUCCUGGGCCAAUACUGACGCUCAUGCACGAAAGCGUGGGGAGCAAACAGG
rnacentral:rRNA from 1 species